GUAGGUGAACCAGCGGAAGGAUCAUUAAAGAGUACGGGUGCUUCGGCGCCCAACCUCCAACCCAAUGUUGUUAAAACUACCUUGUUGCUUUGGCGGGACCGCUUUGGUCCGUCCGAGCCGCCGGGGCCGUCAAAAGCCCAGGCGAGUUCCCGCCAGAGUUAAACCAAACUCUUGUUAAUUAAACCGGUCGUCUGAGUUAAAUUUUUGAAUAAAUCAAAACUUUCAACAACGGAUCUCUUGGUUCUC
rnacentral:misc_RNA from 1 species